rnacentral:rRNA from 1 species
AAGACCUUGCGCUUUUGGAGCGGCCGAUGUCUGAUUAGCUUGUUGGUGAGGUAAAAGCUUACCAAGGCUUCGAUCAGUAGCUGGUCUGGGAGGACGACCAGCCACACUGGGACUGAGACACGGCCCAGACUCCUACGGGAGGCAGCAGUGGGGAAUUUUGGACAAUGGGGGCAACCCUGAUCCAGCCAUGCCGCGUGAGUGAAGAAGGCCUUCGGGUUGUAAAGCUCUUUCAGCCGGAACGAAACGGUUACGGUUAAUACCCGUGACUACUGACGGUACCGGAAGAAGAAGCACCGGCUAACUACGUGCCAGCAGCCGCGGUAAUACGUAGGGUGCGAGCGUUAAUCGGAAUUACUGGGCGUAAAGCGUGCGCAGGUGGUUUUGUAAGUCAGAUGUGAAAUCCCCGGGCUCAACCUGGGAACU